rnacentral:rRNA from 4 species
GGUAGAAUUCCAGGUGUAGCGGUGAAAUGCGUAGAGAUCUGGAGGAAUACCGGUGGCGAAGGCGGCCCCCUGGACAAAGACUGACGCUCAGGUGCGAAAGCGUGGGGAGCAAACAGGAUUAGAUACCCUGGUAGUCCACGCCGUAAACGAUGUCUACUUGGAGGUUGUGCCCUUGAGGCGUGGCUUCCGGAGCUAACGCGUUAAGUAGACCGCCUGGGGAGUACGGCCGCAAGGUUAAAACUCAAAUGAAUUGACGGGGGCCCGCACAAGCGGUGGAGCAUGUGGUUUAAUUCGAUGCAACGCGAAGAACCUUACCUGGUCUUGACAUCCACAGAACUUUCCAGAGAUGGAUUGGUGCCUUCGGGAACUGUGAGACAGGUGCUGCAUGGCUGUCGUCAGCUCGUGUUGUGAAAUGUUGGGUUAAGUCCCGCAACGAGCGCAAC